AGGGUGCAUUUUCUUUCUCUUCAGUUCAAGCUAAAUGCAAAGGUGGACAAACGGCAUACGAUAAACCCUGCUCAGCCCAAUAUGGCUGCAUUGCUACUGCAGAAUAGCUCAAUGGGAUCUUCUGAGCAGACCCCAGAUGGAGGAAUAACAAAUGGAUAUGCAGAAGGAUUAGUCUAUCUGAAGACUCUAUAAAAUGGGAUUCGAAUGAACCAGUGGAUGUUUUAAUUGGAGGCUUAUAACCUCGGAUGGCUUGAGAAUUAACCACGGAACAUUCUGAAGGUCUCGUACCAACUGAAAUGGCAGCGGUGAUGACCCAAUCACCUUGUGAUUGAACAGCCGGUAUGGAGGUACAAGUGUGCCUUAACACUUAAGAUGAAAUGGUGCAAUCUAGGUCCCUUGAUGGGAAUGUCAAUCUGUAGGUCUUAUGACCAACUACACUUCAACGUUGAUAUACCCGUAAUACGGGUUUAAGGUCUUGUGAAAAAUGAUUGAGGCCUGUCAUACAUCAUAACAUCCAAUCACAUUGACGUGGGAAUUCCACUAACGAGC